UUUUGGACAAUGGGCGCAAGCCUGAUCCAGCCAUGCCGCGUGCAGGAAGAAGGCCUUCGGGUUGUAAACUGCUUUUGUCAGGGAAGAAAUCCUCUGGGUUAAUACCUCGGAGGGAUGACGGUACCUGAAGAAUAAGCACCGGCUAGCUACGUGCCAGCAGCCGCAGUAAUACGUAGGGUGCGAGCGUUAAUCGGAAUUACUGGGCGUAAAGCGUGCGCAGGCGGCUUUGCAAGACAGAUGUGAAAUCCCCGGGCUCAACCUGGGAACUGCAUUUGUGACUGCAAGGCUAGAGUGCGGCAGAGGGAGAUGGAAUUCCGCGUGUAGCAGUGAAAUGCGUAGAUAUGCGGAGGAACACCGAUGGCGAAGGCAAUCUCCUGGGCCUGCACUGACGCUCAUGCACGAAA
rnacentral:rRNA from 1 species